UGGCCUCCUAAUUUUGAGUUUGCUCUCUUGCUGUAGGUGGAGGAUCUUGGCGAUCUGAUCAAGCUUUACACGGACUGACACGCUCGCUUGAUACCUUAUUACUGCUUCGAGCAGUCUGUGCGCAAAAUUAAGAAAGUUGGGGCCAGUAGCCACGUUAGGGUAAGCUUCUUUAUUCCUCCUUUACAGGUUUCCGUCCAUGCCGUUUACAUGAGAAACUGA
rnacentral:rRNA from 1 species